ACUUUAUAGAGUGGGCCGAACGAGUUCAGAGUGGGAUAUUCCACGUGUGGGUUGCUCCUUCUGCCUGGGUCCCUGAGUGAGAAGAACUGCCCAUGGCCUCCAUAUACAAAGAAUGAAGAAUAGCUGCCAGUGGUCCUACAAAUUUGAAGAUUUGAAGCCCAUUACAGUGUUGAAGAUGGUUUUCUUCCCGUUGCCAUCAUUUCAAGUUAGGGUGGAUUUGACUCCGAGAGGCUCAGAGCUGUACGUAAACUCCUCCAGGGCAGGACCUGACUCUUCAGAAGAAUUUUUUAACCCCUGCACCCCCACCCCCCACCCUGGAGCUGCCCAGGUCAAGGCCCUGAUAGAGCAGACGUUCAAGAGCAAUGACUAACUGCAGUUGAAAGCCCAGAAGAUACAACAAGCAAAAUCCUGCAUAUAGCCCUGGAGGGACGUGGAGGUGAGCCAGAACUGGAGGGCCUCCACUUCAGUGGGAUGACCGAGACUCAACAGCAUGAGAAUUUGCCAGCAGUGAGGGCCAUCAAAGACCAGAGCUGCUCCACAUGGCUGUGAGCUGCCCAGGGGCAAAGGCUGUGUCUUUCUGGCCCUCAAUCCCCAGCAUCUAGUACAAUGCCUGGCACCUGAGUUCUCAAUAAAGAGUGACCAGAAUGAGCUGCUUCUUCAGGAAUUUACACUAACCCCACAGAAUUCAAUGUUUAAGCAGCUUGCUAAACAUUUAUCAGAUCGCCCCAAGUGGAAGAACCAGUCAAGAAGUCACUUCUCAGUGCUUCCAAUUUUCUGCUUAACCAUAAAAAAGUGAAGAAAUGACACCGAUUGGCUAAUUCAUGUUGUUCUGACGUCGACCCACUUCGUGAGGAGCACGUCUCCUUGGAAGAAAGAAGUUCUAAGAGAACCGAGGAAUGAUCAGAGGACAUCUACGAGAACUGCAAGCGUUUAAACCGCAGGUUGUAGCCGUGGCCUUGAUAGUGCAGUCUCAUUAAUACACACAGAUGGGAGCGUACGGGUGAUAAUGUAUCCUCACAGCUCACAUCGCCGUUCACCCUUGACAGAUGAGCUUCCUCCUACUCCCCAUCCCCGUGAAAACCUUCUAAUGUUAACUCCCACUGCUUCCCUCCCCUUGGCCUCUAAACUUUAUUAUAACCACCUAGCCUUUCCUCCAAGUCUUUUAUAUUAAUUAGAGGGCUAUGUGAUAUGGCCUUACCGCUUUAAGAUCAACUUCUCCAGGAGUUCCUGCUGUGGCGCAGCAGAAAUGAACCUGACUAUAUCCAUGAGGAUGUGGGUUCCAUCCCUGGCCUCGCUCAGUGGGUCGGGGAUCCGGUGUUGCCAUGAGCUGUGGUGUAGGUUGCAGAUAUGGCCUGGAUCCCGAGUGGCUGUGGCUGUGGCUGUGGCCAGCAGCUGUAGCCCCGAUUCAACCCCUAGCCUGGGAACUUCCAUAUGCUGCGGGUGUGGCUCAAAGAAGCAAAAAAAGAAAAAAA
rnacentral:lncRNA from 1 species